rnacentral:rRNA from 1 species
GACGAACGCUGGCGGCGUGCCUAAUACAUGCAAGUUGAGCGCUGAAGGUUGGUACUUGUACCAACUGGAUGAGCAGCGAACGGGUGAGUAACGCGUGGGGAAUCUGCCUUUGAGCGGGGGACAACAUUUGGAAACGAAUGCUAAUACCGCAUAAAAACUUUAAACACAAGUUUUAAGUUUGAUAGAUGCAAUUGCAUCACUCAAAGAUGAUCCCGCGUUGUAUUAGCUAGUUGGUGAGGUAAAGGCUCACCAAGGCGAUGAUACAUAGCCGACCUGAGAGGGUGAUCGGCCACAUUGGGACUGAGACACGGCCCAAACUCCUACGGGAGGCAGCAGUAGGGAAUCUUCGGCAAUGGACGAAAGUCUGACCGAGCAACGCCGCGUGAGUGAAGAAGGUUUUGGGAUCGUAAAACUCUGUUGGUAGAGAAGAACGUUGGUGAGAGUGGAAAGCUCAUCAAGUGACGGUAACUACCCAGAAAGGGACGGCUAACUACGUG